GUAGGGAAUAUUGCUCAAUGGGCGAAAGCCUGAAGCAGCAACGCCGCGUGGAGGAUGACACUUUUCGGAGCGUAAACUCCUUUUCUUAGGGAAGAACAAUGACGGUACCUAAGGAAUAAGCACCGGCUAACUCCGUGCCAGCAGCCGCGGUAAUACGGAGGGUGCAAGCGUUACUCGGAAUCACUGGGCGUAAAGGACGCGUAGGCGGAUUAUCAAGUCUUUUGUGAAAUCUAAUGGCUUAACCAUUAAACUGCUUGAGAAACUGAUAAUCUAGAGUGAGGGAGAGGCAGAUGGAAUUGGUGGUGUAGGGGUAAAAUCCGUAGAGAUCACCAAGAAUACCCAUUGCGAAGGCGAUCUGCUAGAACUCAACUGACGCUAAUGCGUGAAAGCGUGGGGAGCAAACAGGAUUAGAAACCCUAGUAGUCCC
rnacentral:rRNA from 1 species